AACGAACGCUAGCGGCGUGGAUUAGGCAUGCAAGUCGCACGAGAAAGGGCUUCGGCCCGAGUAAAGUGGCGGACGGGUGAGUAAUGCGUAGAUGACCUGCCCUGAUGACGGGGAUAACUAGCCGAAAGGUUAGCUAAUACCGGAUGUGGUGCGGAGGCUACGGCUUCCGUACUAAAGAUGGCCACUGAAUCAAGCUGUCGCAUGAGGAGGGGUUUACGUGCUAUUAGCUAGUUGGUGAGGUAAUGGCUCACCAAGGCUGUGAUGGCUAGCCGGCCUGAGAGGGUGUCCGGCCACACUGGGACUGAGACACUGCCCAGACUCCUACGGGAGGCUGCAGUCGAGAAUCUUCCUCCAAUGCGCGCAAGCGUGAAGGAGCGACGCCGCGUGAAUGAUGAAGGCC
rnacentral:rRNA from 1 species